rnacentral:piRNA from 1 species
UGACUUGGGAUGAUGCUACCCUGUC